AUGAUCACGGACUUGCAGCUCGCCAUCUUCACCAACAUGCUGGGCGUGUCGCUCUUCCUGCUUUGUCGUUCUUUACCUCUACAUUGCCGUCAACAACCCCAAGAAGCAAGAAUGGGAGUGGCACUUUCCCCCGCCCCAGGGUUCCAGGACAUAGUCUGAGGCAAGAUGGAGGGUGUGAGGGGCCUUCACACUUCACUUCAUCCCUUCUGUCCAUCACAACAUACAAAGGAACUACAUCUGGAUUUUUCCAAACAACUUUUAUUUCCUCAAAGUCUUCCUUAACCCUAUGGAACAAGAAGGGGGCACUGAAUAGGGCCCAGUGUAGGGGCUGAUUUCUUUUCUACUCCCUCAAUAUAAAAA